CCCUAUUAUUAAAUAUUUUAUUAAAUUAGUAAAAUUUAUGAAACUUAAUCAUAUUGGCGGUUAAUUAUAUAUUAGAGGAGCUUGUUUUCAUUAUAGAUAUUACUCUUUAUAUUUCAAUAUUUUUAGCUUAUUCAUCUCUGUAAUCAAAUUUAUAUUAAAAUUUAAUAACCUUAAAAAUCUCAGGUCAAGAUGUAGCCUUAAAUAUUGAAAAUUAGCUACAAUAAUUAAAUUAUGUAUUAAAAAAUCUUCAUAAUGUUAAUAAAUUGAAUUUAUUUGUAAUAAUUACUAAAAUAUAAUCAUGAUCUUUCAUAAUUAAUGUA
rnacentral:rRNA from 1 species